UUUCAGACAUCUCUUGACCUGAAACAGUAAUGAGAAGAAGAAAUGAUCGGCUGAAGGGUUUCCUCUGACCCACCCCAGGAUAUUUGGCUUGGCAGUGGAGGCAAGGGUAUCUUGCUGGAGAUUUCUGCUUUCUAGAGGCCUUCCACAGACAGUCUGAACGAGAAGCUUCGAAACGAGAAUUCACGAGAAGUUUGAGUGCACUCUAUAUGGAGCUGGAGGGGAAGUUCAUUGCAUGGAAUUUCUGAAUUGGGAAACGUACUGCUCCCUCCUCUGCCUCUCACCAUCAUUCAAAUCCUGGAAAGCUGCUUGUUUGCCGGAUCAUUGCAUGUCAAAAAGUGACCCCUGGCAAGUUGUGUGAGGCAUCUGACGGACACCAGAACAGUGGCAUUUAUGGCAAA